rnacentral:rRNA from 1 species
GGCAGCAGUGGGGAAUACUGGACAAUGGGCGAAAGCCUGAUCCAGCCAUGCCGCGUGUGUGAAGAAGGUCUUCGGAUUGUAAAGCACUUUAAGUUGGGAGGAAGGGCAGUAAGCUAAUACCUUGUUGUUUUGACGUUACCGACAGAAUAAGCACCGGCUAACUCUGUGCCAGCAGCCGCG